rnacentral:lncRNA from 1 species
AGGAGGAGGAGGAGGAGGACGAGGAGGAGGACGAGGAGGAGGAGGAGGACGAGGACGAGGACGAGGACAAGGACGAGGACGAGGACAGAGAGAGGGGAAACGCGGAGCUCCUUCAACUCGCGUUGUCCGGUGAGAAGUAAGCAAGCAGGAACUGACAGGAGGCUCCGGGAGCCCUCGCCUCCUUUCGCUUUUUUACCUGCCAAUCAAACCGCUAGAAGACAACACCCUGAUCUGGCAUGGACAU